GUAGAGCUAAUACAUGCACGAAUUUCCGACUGUGGCUAUGGGGUAACUCAUGGUUGUGGAAGGAAAGCACUUGUUAGCCGGGCAAGCCAAUGCGGGAGUAAUUCUCGGAACAUGGCGAGUCAUAACAAUUGAGCGAAUCGCAUGUCCUUGAGACGGCGAUGCACCAUUCAAAUUUCUGCCCUAUCAACUUUCGAUGGUAGGAUCGGGGCCUACCAUGGUUAUUACGGGUAACGGGGAAUUAGGGUUUGACUCCGGAGAGGGAGCUCGAGAAACGGCUACCACUUCCAAGGAAGGCAGUAGGGCGCAAAUUACCCAAUGGCGACACGCCGAGGUAGUGACAACAAAUAAGUAGAUAGGUCCCACAAGGGAUUUGUCAUACGAAUGAGUACUUAAACCCCUUAACGAAAGCCACUGGAGGACAAGUCUGGUGCCAGCACCCGCGGUAAUUCCAGCUCCAGUAGCGUAUAUAAAGCUGUGCGGUUAAAAAGCUCGUAGUCGGAUUUGAAGGCUGUCAGAAGACCGGUCCACGCGUAGUCGUGAGCACUGGUUUUCGGGUCUUUAUACCUUUCUGGAUGCCUGUUCCUGCUCUUCAUUGAGUGGGGAUACAAAGGGGAAGCGCAAGCCGAACCGAAGGUUCCAGAUCAUUUACUUUGAGAAAAUUAGAGUGUUCAAAGCAGGCGGUCACGCCUUGAAUACAUAAGCAUGGGAUAAUGCCAUGGGACUCUGAGCCCAUUUCGUUGGUUUCUGGGAAUGGAGUCACGAUCAACAGGGACAGUUGGGGUGAUUCAUAUUUUGCCGACAGGGGUGAAAUCCUAUGACCGGCGAAAGAUGAACUAGUGCGAAAGCAUUUCACAAGGAUGUUUUCAUUGAUCAAGAACGAAAGUUGAGGGAUCGAAGGCGAUCAGAUACCGCCCUAGUCUCAACCAUAAACCAUGCCGACCAGGGAUCGGAAGACGUUCAAUUUACUCGACUCCUCCGGCACCUUGUGAGAAAUCACAAGUCUUUGGGCUUCGGGGGGAGUAUGGUCGCAAGGCUGAAACUUAAAGGAAUUGACGGAACGACACCACCAGGAGUGGAGCCUGCGGCUUAAUUCGACCCAACACGGGAAAACUCACCAGGUCCAGACAGCGGAAGGAUGUACAGACUUGCAGAUCUUUAUAGAUUCGCUGGGUGGUGGUGCAUGGCCGUUCUUGGCUCGUGCGUUGACUUGUCUGGUUAAUUCCGUUAACGAGCGAGACCUCAGCCUGCUAAAUAGUCACUAUACUCCUGUAC
rnacentral:rRNA from 1 species